UCCUACGGGAGGCAGCAGUGGGGAAUAUUGGACAAUGGGGGCAAGCCUGAUCCAGCCAUGCCGCGUGUGUGAAGAAGGCCUUCGGGUUGUAAAGCACUUUUGUUGGAAAGAAAAGCGGUCGGUUAAUACCCGGU
rnacentral:rRNA from 1 species